GCCCUCGCAGCCCUAUCUCCCGCGCGCGGCGCCCGGGAGCCCGGCCGACCCCGCAUGCACGCAGGCGGGUUCCACACGCCGGCCGCCCGGGAUGCACUGCACAAGCCGGGCCGCGCCGCCGGCCGCAGAGCGCCCUCCCCGCCUCCGAGCCCCAGCCUUACCCCGCCGUCAUCACCACAUUGUAGAUGACCAGUCACUUUGUAUUCCUCCUAUACAACUGGCCUGCCACUGAGCGUCUCAAACAUACCAGGGACCAGCCUGUUUGCAGAGUGCAGGAUAAUGCCCUGCUUCUUAACCAGUAGCCUUAACCUUUUGGAUAAUAAUACCAAGCAGCCACCAUGAUCCAAAACAUCAGAUCAUAAAAAGAUGGAAGAUCUUUGCCUAUUCCUGUAAAAUAUAUGAAUAUUCUUGCCCCUUUUUUAGCCUAUCUCUCUCAUUAUUCUAAUCCUGUCUGUAAUUUCUCAACUCUAGAGUUAAGCUGACUUACAAGGAAGGGAUCUACUUGCUUCUCCAUUCAUUGGCCACUGAAUAAAGCUUUUUCUUCUCCCAUCA